rnacentral:rRNA from 1 species
AGAGUUUGAUCAUGGCUCAGAACGAACGCUGGCGGCGCGUUUUAAGCAUGCAAGUCGAACGGCAGCUUUGGUAGCAAUACUGAAGCGAGAGUGGCGAACGGGUGAGUAAGACGUAGGUGAUCUACCCCUGGAUGGGGGAUAGUCCGUGGAAACACGGGGUAAUACCGCAUGAGGCCUUGGGGGUAAAGCCCUGAGGUGAAAGCUCCAACUGGAGCGUCUGGGGAUGAGCCUGCGGCCCAUUAGGCAGUUGGCGGGGUAACGGCCCACCAAACCGACGAUGGGUAGCCGGCCUGAGAGGGUGUACGGCCACACUGGAACUGAGACACGGUCCAGACUCCUACGGGAGGCAGCAGCUAAGAAUCUUCCGCAAUGGGGGAAACCCUGACGGAGCGACGCCGCGUGGACGAUGAAGGCCGCAAGGUUGUAAAGUCCUUUUGCAGGUGAAGAAUAAGCCGGGGAGUGGAAAGCCCUGGUGAUGACGUUAGCCUGCGAAUAAGCCCCGGCCAAUUACGUGCCAGCAGCCGCGGUAAUACGUAUGGGGCGAGCGUUGUUCGGAGUUAUUGGGCGUAAAGGGCGUGUAGGCGGCCCGAGAAGUCUGGUGUGAAAUCGCAGGGCUCAACCCUGCGGGUGCGCUGGAAACUGACGGGCUGGAGUCCCGGGGGGGAAGCUGGAAUUCCUGGUGUAGGAGUGAAAUCUGUAGAGAUCAGGAAGAACACCGGUGGCGAAGGCGAGCUUCUAUUCGAGGACUGACGCUGAGGCGCGAAAGCGUGGGGAGCAAACAGGAUUAGAUACUCUGGUAGUCUACGCUGUAAACGAUGUGCACUAGGCGUGGGACACGUCGGUGUUCUGUGCCGUAGCUAACGCGAUAAGUGCACCGCCUGGGGAGUAUGCUCGCAAGGGUGAAACUCAAAGGAAUUG